UGGGUUCCUUCCCUGGCCUCCUUCUGAUGAGAGGCCCCCACAUGUCAGCUAGGACAGUCCAGCAGGCUGGAUGCGAGAUUCCUUUGGAGUAAUCAAAAAGGCUCCCAGCCUCUGAGCAUCUAAAUCACUAUAUUCUGCUAAAGAAACUCUUCCGUUUUCAUGGCAGGCUUAAUUGAACGAUGAUACUUGAGUUUCCUUUUGAACCUGAAGUCAGCAGCAGUUUACAGGAAGGAGGUAGAAGUUGAGAUGGUUCUUCUCACUUAAGUGUUUGCUGUUCGAUACCAACAAACAACGUUCCACCAGAAACUAACCCCGGCACCACCUUUAUUU